CCUGUAAUCUCAGCUACUCGGGAGACUGAGGCAGGAGAAUUGCUUGAACCUGAGAGGCGGAGGUUGGAGUAAGCCGAGAUCACACCACUGCAGUCCAGUCUGGGCAACAGAGCAAGACUCCAUCUCAAAAAAAAAAAAGAGCUGCAUGCAAUAUGAGUCAAGCCACCUAGCCACAUUCCUCUCAAGGGUCAGAAUAAUUUAAAAUUCCAACAGCAGUAAAUUUGAAUUCUUUCACAUACUGAACUGUCAAAAACCCAGUCAUUGUCCGUUCGAGCUCAUCAGCUCAUCAGCUCAGCGGCAGGGCUGGGACAGAUGCCUGGGAUGACAUGAAUUCCUCCUGUCCCUUCUGUCUUUCUUUAAACAAGUCACCAGGGGCCAUAUCCAUGCCCCCUGGUGGCUAAACGGUGUCGUGUCCCUAAAGGCCUCCCGCCUCGAGGCUCUCUCUGACCAGGAAUGUGGAUUUCUUAAUGUGUGGUUUGACCAGCUCCUUCACUGCCAGGCAUAGAUCUUUAGGUAUUGUAAGUGUCCAGUAAGUGCCCGUGAAAGGUCAGGGAUGGGGGCAGAUGGUGGAAGUGAUUCAGAGAAACGAGAAGGAGAAUUUGAUUGAGGUAUGGAGAGGCUUGCACAGGCUGACCAAAGAUAAAAUAUGCCUAUUGAUCUACAGGAAAUCAAAUUAAGAAAAACGGCCGGUGGUGUCUCCGCCUGUAAUCCCAGCACUUUGGGAGGCCGAGGCGGGAGGAUCAUGAGGUCAGGAGAUCAAGACCAUCCUGACUAACACGGUGAAACCCUGUCUCUACUAAAAAUGCAAAAAAUUAGCCAGGUGUGGUGGUGGGCGCCUGUAGUCCCAGCUAUUUGGGAGGCUGAGGCAGGAGAAUGGCGUGAACCUGGGAGGCAGAGCUUGCAGUGAGCUAAUAUCGUGCCACUGCACUCCACCCUGGGCGACAGAGUGAGACUCUGUCUCAAAAAAAAAAGAAAAACAUAGGCCGGGCACGGUGGCUCAUGCCUGUAAUCCCAGCACUUUGGGAGGCUGAGGCAGGCAGAUCACUUAAGGUGAGGAGUUCGAGACUAGCCUGGCCAACAUGGUGAAACCCCUUCUCUACUAAAAAUAGAAAAAUUAGCCAGACAUGAUGGCACACACCUGUAAUCCCACCUACUCGGGAGGCUGAGGCAGGAGAAUUGCUUGAACCCGGGAGGUGGAGGUUGCGGUGAGCCGAGAUCGUGUCACUGCACUCCAGCCUGGGCAGCAAGAGUGAAACUCCUUAUUAAAAAAAAAAAAAAAAAAGCAGCUCGCGUGGAAGGUGCUUCUCUCAGGCACUCAGGGUCACCGGGUGCAGGGCAGGGUGGUCCCGAAUGGCAUGCUGAAGGGCCAGGAUCUCACACCGUGGGCUGCAGAGAGCCACUGAAGGUUUUGUAAGCAGGGAGAGCUGGUGGCUCAGCUGAGCAUAGUCACUGAAGGAACAUUACUCUGAUAGUGGGAGGGGUACACAGAGACUUGUGGGUGACAGGGGCCGGGACUAGUCUAGGUCAUGUGAUGUAUAAGAAGCCUGUGUAGGCUUUAAAAGCAAGACACAAGGGCUGGGAGCAGUGGCUCAUGCCUGUAAUCCCACCACUUUGGCAGGCUGAGGCAGGAGAUCACUUGAGCUCAGGAGUUUGAGACCAGCCUGGGCAACACAGCAAGACCCUGUCUCUUAAAAAAAAAAAAAAAA
rnacentral:lncRNA from 1 species